GCCAUUUUAAAUUUCCCGGGGAACUUCCUGUUGAAAACGCCUUUGGAGGAUGACGUAUGCGCGUGACGUCGCGAGGUCCACGGAAUUGUUUGGACCCUUUUGGACACAAUACACAGAGCUCUGUUUUCUUCGACCAAAUUCCACAGUAUUCUGGACAUCUGUGUUGGUGAAUCUUUUGCAAUUUGUUUAAUGAACAAUGGAGGCUGCAAAGAAGAACGUUGUAGGUGGGAUCGGUGUAUGCGGCUGGCUGUAGCAACACAACAAGGAGGACUUUGUUGGAUAGAAGACGCGCUAGCAGCGAACUCACCUUGACUUCCUACGUCUCCGGGCCGCCGACCGCAUCGUCGAUCGCUGGAACGCAGAAGGAUGCUGUUCUGGCCCAAGGACUUCAGAGCGGAGAGAUGACAGGAUCUGCCCAAUUUCCAGACGAACUCUUUUUGAAGUAUUGACCUGCAUCACCUGGGAGGACUUGACAGUACACGGACUCAUUCAGUUCCUGACCUACUAACCUCCAUAUUACCGUCAAACGAGAGUCCACGUCUGCUGCACACCUUCUUGUUCUGCUGACAUGCAGAGAAAAUGACAAAAAAAAGGUUAUUACCCAAGAAGGAGAAGGAAAGUCUCACCGGUAGACUUUGAGUGCGUACUCACACUAGGACAUUGGUAUAGCGUGUUGGACUAUGGGUGCGAUUCCACCCCCCCUUCCUGGUGCUCGCUGGCCUGCGUUCCCACUGAGCGUGGACAUAUUGACGGCUGGAGGUUACAAGAGUCAACCAUCAUCCCUCCAAUGAAAAUACACAUCCCAUGUGAUGUCUGGUCAGGCGCUCACCUCUCAGAACGGACGUGUCAGCGGGCGGACGGCCGGUUCAGAGGUCAUGGUGGCCAGCGCGUUUUGGACGUCUGUCCUCAGUUGGUUGCCGUCAACAGAAAGACAUGCACUGGCAGAGGGGGCAGGAUGUUGAAAACAAGGUUUUGUGAAGGAAAAAAAAUGUUUUCCCACUGGGGUCUUUGCCUUCGCGCGUGCCACGGUCUUCUCAUUAGACAGUUUUAUGGUAAGCCUGCGUACAAACAGACCUAGAAGUUAAACAGUCCAGUACAGUAUGUCCACCAUCAUGAAAACAUGGCCUUGUCUUUUUUUGUUGACUCGGACACGCACACGUGAAAAAAUCCCAUAGGGGAGUCUUCCUCAUGCUCUUAUCGGCCAGCAUCAGGAGAACUUCACAGGAUGCUCCAAGCUUCCGUCCUCCUAAAAGUGUCAACAGAACGUCUAGCGUCCAGGAAGCAGCAGGAGGACCACCAUGUCUA